GACGAACGCUGGCGGCGUGCCUAAUACAUGCAAGUUGAGCGCUGAAGGUUGGUACUUGUACCAACUGGAUGAGCAGCGAACGGGUGAGCAACGCGUGGGGAAUCUGCCUUUGAGCGGGGGACAACAUUUGGAAACGAAUGCUAAUACCGCAUAAAAACUUUAAACACAAGUUUUAAGUUUGAAAGAUGCAAUUGCAUCACUCAAAGAUGAUCCCGCGUUGUAUUAGCUAGUUGGUGAGGUAAAGGCUCACCAAGGCGAUGAUACAUAGCCGACCUGAGAGGGUGAUCGGCCACAUUGGGACUGAGACACGGCCCAAACUCCUACGGGAGGCAGCAGUAGGGAAUCUUCGGCAAUGGACGAAAGUCUGACCGAGCAACGCCGCGUGAGUGAAGAAGGGUUUCGGAUCGUAAAACUCUGUUGGUAGAGAAGAACGUUGGUGAGAGUGGAAAGCUCAUCAAGUGACGGUAACUACCCAGAAAGGGACGGCUAACUACGUG
rnacentral:rRNA from 1 species